GGUGGUGACUGCUGUAGUGCUGGGAGCUUCAAGCUAUCACUUCCCAGGGACUCGUGGGCUCUAGAAGCACUUUGCAACCCUAUCAGCCAUCCAGCAGAAUUCAGCAAGCUGCCUAAAAUCUCCAUCUGUGCUGCAGCAUGGUUUUGUGAGAUCCCAACAUACCUUCUGCGAAUGGACUUUGUGAUGAUGCUGUCCUGGUUCAAAACAGGGUAUUCUUCCUCCAUCCCCAUUUCCCAAGGAAAGUCCUUUGGAAUGAAGAUCCUUUCUAUGCUGUGAUGUUCAAGGAAUGAUCCCAGCUCUUUAUAGGACUUAAUGCAGUAAGGCUUGAAGAGACUGAGAGACAAGUAACCCUCUGGGUUUCACCCCUCUAUCUAAGAACUGAGGAGAGAAUGGGCAGCAUUAACAAGAUGAUAAGCCCAACUUGAUCCAGAGGGAGAGAGCUCCUUCUGAAGCCUUGGGCAGCUCUCCUGAUCUCUCCAGCACCUGAUAUUCCUGGUCAAUUGUAAAGCAGGAGUGAUGGCCUUCAUUUCUGUCCCACUAUGGCUCACCUCAGAAGCGCAUUUAAAAAAAAUUCUCAGCAUCUCCAUUGCUUUUCUGACAGACUCUGACAUCUCUAAAUCUGGGGCCAAAAGACUUUUUUUUUUUUUUUUUGCUUUUGUUCCUUUCCUUUAAUACCUGAUUAUUCCAGGGUGACAAGAGGCAGUUGUUCCAGAGCGGUUCUUCGUUUUGUGCACAGCCAGGUGAAACACAAACAGUGACAAAUUGAUGAUGGAGUAGAACACAUUAGCGUGAAAAUCCUCAGGUGCAUCGUAAGGUAUCUCCUCUGAGUCUGCUGCAGUGAUAAUGCUAUUGCAAGUGGCUUCUCCAGAAAGGAAAUAGUCCCCAGUUGGUUAUUGGUUUGAUUGGAUUGCAGUGAAGCUUCACAUCAGUCCUGAAAUACGAUCUGUAAAGCCAGCAGAAGUGUGCUAGGAGACCAGGAGAGGAUUGUGGUGCAGGUUGGUUUUGCCUGGCAGCACGGGGUGAGCUGAGGGUUGGCACUGAGCAGGGCAGCAGGUAGAAGGAUGUAAGGAGUGUGCUCUGGGUGGGCUGAAAAACCCAAAAGGAAAACAUCUCUAGUUCUCUCCUUGCCACCUAGUGUCUGUUUGUGUUAAAGAUUCUGGUACAUCUCUGAAUUAAAGCACUAUUUGUGCCUCUUACUCUUGUGCAACUACCUGUUUUUUGGAUAACUACCCAAGUGGAUCUUUAAGCCCUUACAAAAACAGAGGAGAAUACAUCUGCCCUUCAGCCCUGACUCACCCAAACCUUGUACAAACCAUCCAGAUAUGCUCUUCCAACUGGUUGGGGACAUGACAUCACACUCAUCCCAACAUCUCACACUCAUGGAUAUAAGCCUCUUCUAAUCGGGUAAAAACAGUCGAUGGGCCUUUUGUCACACCUCCAGUUCUAGGAUUCCAGCAGCUUUUAAUUCUCAAGGUGAAUUUAGCCUUGGGCAGAGAGCAAUUGCACUGCCCUGGCUGGUGCCUGCAGCAACCUGCAGUGCUGCUCUGCCCGUCAGCUGCUGCAGGAGAUGCGCUGGGAGCUGCAGGCAGGGGCUGAAGGGGGACUGAAGAAAUGGAGGUGUUUGAUGUUUGCUUAUUUAUGUAUUUAGUAGCUGCUGUCUCCACAAGAGCCUCUUUCUGCACAGGAGCGAUAAGCUGUGCUUGGCUCCUGCUUGUCCACCCCUGCUGGCUCCUGUUUGUUGCCAUCUCAUCAGCAGGCACCAAAAAGCCCCACUUUCAUCCCUGCUGGGCUGCCCUCCCUGCCCUGCUCCAAAAUGCUGCUCGAGUGUCAUGGAAACAGCACGCAGAACUGCCAUGCACAGGAAGGGAGAGGGAAGCAAGGCAUGGGAGCCCAGUACAUCCCCCAGGAACCCACAGGAUGACUCUGCAAUGAUACCCACAUUUAGAUUGUGACGUGGUAGGUGAAACUGUUGCAAUAUGUACAGUUAAGUCAACGUGCUCGCAUGGCACAGAUCUGUGGCUAAGGGUGGAUGCAGCACAUCUGCAGCUGCACAGGGGGUGGGUGAGGCUGCCCUGAUGUGCUGGGCUCCCAUCCAAGUUUGGCCACGGAUGGGCUGGUGGCCAUGGGCAGAGCUCUGUGCAUUGCAUUGCCUGGGAGUGGAGGCUGGGAAGGACACGGCUCCUCUUCAAGAGCUAUAAUUAAUACUGGGAAGCUGCUGGCUGCUCUGGCAAUCCCAGUUAUCCAUAUUGUCUGUGCCAUUCACGUAUCCCUUCUUAGUUGAGGAUACUUAUUAUUAUCUUUAUUAAUUACGCAUAGCAGUGUGCUUAAAACAAGGAGGAGGGAGGGAGGAAUGGCCAGUGUUUUCCCACUGUGGAAAAGCAAAAUGUUACAUUUUGUACUUGUCAAAAGCAAAAAUCCUUCACUUCAAGACGUGUGAGAUGCAUUACUAAUUGCACAAUUAUCUUGUUCCGUGGCACUUGCAAAAAAGAACUUGGAGUGCUUUCAGCGAAUUCUGGUAUUGAGGAAAUAAUGAAUUGGUUUUUUUAAAAAGUACUAAAUUAAGUGCUCUUUCUUCAUGAGAAAAAUGUUCCUAGGCUUCGUGGAGCUGUCUGCACAAAACUUUCUGAAGAUGAAUGUAGCGUGCAUUAGUAAGGUGCAGAGGUCAGUGUGGCCCUGAGUAGAGGAAGGGAUGAGUAAAUAUGGCUCAUGUGGAUGAUUUCCUUUUUGUAAUGUGGGAAGAGGCCAAAAUAUUCAGGUCCUCACAGCGAAGUAAAUUUUGCAGAUCUUCCUUUGGGAGCUUCACAAAGCCCUGCUGGGCUGCAUCCCUCUCCUGUCACACCAUGGAUGGCAAAUGGUGAUCCACACUCUCUGUAAUAUAACUCUGAAAGCAAUGGUACUGAUAACAGGCACUGAAAACUGUUUUUUCUCCCUCUCCAUCCCUCUGCCACAAAAUACACAAAACCCAGCAUUUGGAGCAGACUUGAAUCUAUGUUCCCCAACAGCCUGGAGCAGAGGGAGGUCCCAGUGGCACAGUGGAAUGAGGAGAGCAACGUUGCUCAACUCAGCAUGGAGACUCAGGUGUUUGGAAACCUCUUCUGGAUCAGAGGGAAGUUGAGUCUGUUUCUGUGAGAUUGAUCUGCAGGCACCAACAGAGUGUUCAGCUGGACUUCUGUGAGAGAGGCAGCAAACAGUGAAUUAGGUGUCAGCCUGCUGAGACAUCAGAGAAAGGGGGAAACACAAUGAAACAUUGCUGCAUUCUGCCUUUCUGUGGCCGUCAGCUGGGCUCAGCCAGCUCCUUGCUGCCCUAAAUUCCAUGGUUCUGCCAUGGUGACUGUGUGCUCUGGUCUGGUGCAUCAUUCUUCUGCUUCAGCCUGCUCCGAAAGUGAAACUUCUGCAUUCAAAAGCAACAACCUCAAGCAACACCCUUGCUGAUUGAGGCAGCCUGGUGGUGUUGAGUAAGCAGCUGUACUGGAGACAGCUGAAUGCUGAGGGAAAGAGGUUUUCCAUUGCUGCCUGGAUGGACACUCCCCCACCAGUCCUGCCUUGGUCCCAGGGAAUGGUCUCUUGCACUCUCCCAUGUGUCAUGACUUCAUGACUGUACCCCUUGGAUCCUAUCAUCAUUCAUCUUUGGAAAGGAGUUAAGAUAAUCAAGAGCUGAGCCCAGGGCUGUAUCUUGGGCAGCUUGGGGUAGCAGGCUGUAAUUCAAGCAUCCUGCUGAGCAUCCCUGGAGUGAUCAGAAUGCAUCACCCUUCUUCCAGCAAAGCAUGGGAGACUCUGGUUGGACAAAAGCACUGGGGCAGGAAUGAGUGGCUGUGGUCCCCAUGGCAGUGGGACCUCAUGGUUAUGUGGACCCAUGCCCACAAACCCAGGGGUGAGACAGCCCAGGUCCCCCACAGAGAGAUGGAAAAUCAAAGCUCAGCUGAGCACAAGCCAGGAUGACAGGCCAGCUCAGCAGCAGUGUCUUUUUUCACCAUUUAAGAGCAUCCUGCAGAAAACAGGAAUGAGAGCUUAUCUCCAAGAGCUGUCACUUCCCCACACUGCCUUCAGCUCAGUGCUACCAUGUAGUCACUGUGGGAAUGUGACCUUUAUGGAGAAUGGUAAGUUGCUGUGGCUUUCCUAGUGUUUAAUGUUCUUCAUUGAUUAGUUUCCAUCUCCCUGAAGGGAGGAGGCUUUGACUGUGAGCCAGAGCUCAGCAGUACCCAGUGCUGUGGGUGGUGGUGAGCUCUCAAGUGAGAAAACUGGCAAAGCAAAAUGCAGGGAGUGACUUUCAGAAAUGAAGACAAGAGAAGGAGAGACUCUCAGAAAGGAUAUUUCUUUUAAUCUGGACUAAAGCCCCACUGCCACUUGCACAAAUCUUUUAUUGUCAGAGGCGCACAAAGUGUGACAGCUUAUUUCAGCUCCAAGCCGUGAUUGCUACACCUCCUCAGUGCCUACCUCCCUCCCUGCCCAUCCUGUGCCAAAUACUCAUCAGUGGAGGAUCUGUGGCCUUGGGGCUGUGACAGCUCUGCCCUCCCUUCUGCACACAGAGAUGUGGCACAAAACAAAGAAGAGAAGCGAGAGGGGAGCGUCGAACCAAAGAGCAGUCACAGCUUUUGUUGUGCUGAGUGUUUUGUGCCAGCUUAGACAAGGUAAAUAUAAUAAUAGCAGCAGAUAGUGGAAGAAUACUGAGUAUUAAGAAGCGGUUUUGAAUUAAUCUCAGCUUUAUUUAUUUAUUUUGAGCAGCAGCAGCAGCGUACCUCCUAACGCCCUUAUCUUUUUGGGUGCACCUGGAACUGUGAAAGAUUUAAACUUGCAAAUCCGAAGCUUAAACAGAGUAAACAGUUUGGUUGCAAACAGUCCAGAGUGGGGGGGAAAAAAGGAAAAAAAAGAAAAAAAAAAAGAUUAAGAAAUAUACUCUAUAUUUGGUCUUUGGAUUUGUUGCAUGUGUAGAAGAAGAAGGAUUGGGAGAGCUUAUGGAUUUGUACAGGGCUGAGCAGCCUGUAUGGUGGUGCAUGCAGAACUCAGGGAGCUGCUGCUCUCUGUGCCUUGAUCUGCAGGGUCACAGCCCUGGGGAACCACAACCAGGGGCUGCCCAACAGGGGCUGGUGUGCCCCUCACUCUGAGAUGGGGUGGAAAAAGAGAGGAUUUUCCCAGCUUUUGGGGGAUGCCAUGUCUGGCUGCUCAAGGGUUAAAUUUUAGCCAGGAUCUUGCAAGCUUUUGGGGGCUGUUUGUUUAGAUCCCUGGAGAUUUGUGCUACUCAGUCCAUUUUUUAACUAUUUGCAGCAGAACGGGACACCAUUUAUCAGGAAGUGGAGAGCCACAGCAGCAAUUCCCUGCCCCAUGAAUAAGAUUUGAUCAAUAGAUGCCUCCUUACAACACUGACCACUUCUUCCACACUCCCCAAAGUCCUGUUAUGAGCACUGAGCAAACCUUCCCAGAGCACAGAGCCCCAGAGGACUUGAGCAAGAAUCCCCUGUGCACACAGGCCUGGCUUUAAGGUAUCAUUUGGAGCUCAGCAGCAGGUUAAUCUGCCUGCAGAGCCAGAUCCACUCCCAGCUUUUCUUUCAAAAGAGCCCACAUGCUUUCUGCAGGCUCAAAAAGCAAAGAGCGAGACAAAGCUCCAAAUCCAUCCACGUUAAUUUACUUUUCUUCCUAGUUCUUGACUGCUACAGCACUCCCCAGCCUGAGCUCUCGUUUGUCAGCAUUUGGGGCCAGCUGGCAGCUUCUCAGCUCCCAUCAGCAGAACAACACAGUCACCCCCAGGAGCCAAAAGCACCGAAUGAGGAGGGACAGCCGCAGCUUUUCAGUACCCACUGCUUUUCAGUAAUGAUCCAAUUUACUUGGUUUUUAGGUUUUUUUUUUUUUUGCCUCUCUGUUUUUUCCCCACUAUGAAGAUUGAUGGUGAGGAUGGUGCCCAGCUGCAUCUGAAUGCAAUAAUCCUCCUGCGGUUGGUGAAAACCAAGCAGCUAUUCCUACAGCUUGUUAGCAGUCAGGAAGAUGGAAGGAAGUGGGAGGAAUCUGGAGGGUGAGGUUUUCGAGUGCCUCACUCGUCACUGCUGAACCCAACGCUAUUUAUGGUGCAAUUAUCACCGCAGACAGACUCCUUUAUCAUCCAGCCAAUAUUCUGGGUACAAAUCCUAUUGCAGCACAGCCACUCCAUACAUCAUCCAGGCACAGCAACAGCCAGGUGAAGAGGUUCGGAGCAGUGAGCAGCUCUGCACAAGGCAGGGAAGAGGGAACAUGGUUCCUGCCUGUCCCCAUUGCCCCACUUCUUUCCCCAAAUCCUUUUUCUUUAGGAAGGAAGUGAUGCAUUUCUCCUUCUUAGUGCUGGCAUCCCUGCCCAAAUUUG